rnacentral:rRNA from 1 species
UACGUAGGGGGCAAGCGUUGUCCGGAAUCAUUGGGCGUAAAGCGCGUGUAGGCGGCCCGAUAAGUCCGCUGUGAAAGUCCAGGGCUCAACCCUGGAAUGCCGGUGGAUACUGUCGGGCUAGAGUCCGGAAGGGGCGAGUGGAAUUCCUGGUGUAGCGGUGAAAUGCGCAGAUAUCAGGAGGAACACCAAUGGCGAAGGCAGCUCGCUGGGACGUGACUGACGCUGAGACGCGAAAGCGUGGGGAGCAAACAGG